rnacentral:rRNA from 1 species
UACGAAGGGGGCUAGCGUUGCUCGGAAUUACUGGGCGUAAAGGGCGCGUAGGCGGCGGCCAUAGUCAGGCGUGAAAUUCCUGGGCUCAACCUGGGGACUGCGCUUGAUACGUGGUUGCUAGAGGACGGAAGAGGUUCGCGGAAGUCACAGUGUAGAGGUGAAAUUCGUAGAUAUUGGGAAGAACACCGGUGGCGAAGGCGGCGAGCUGGUCCGUUACUGACGCUGAGGCGCGACAGCGUGGGGAGCAAACAGG